GUGCUCCCCUUUGUCUGGGCCUGUUCCCUUUUUCUGUUAUAGUGAGCGUUGCACCUUUUUUGUUCCUAGUGAUUUCCCUGUGUUUUUCAGACCAAUCUUCAGUAGUGUUUUUGGAUACCUUUGCCUGUUUCUGGACUGACUUCUCGUGUACCAAACCCUUGCUCUAAGUAAAAAACAGCAGUGUGAUGGAUAAACUCUUUACCUUUGCUGAGUGGAGCUCCAUAGUGUGUACACUGGUUACCAAUGGCACUGUAUUUGCCCUCGCUGCGUGCCAACAGCACACUGUGAUGUCCCACUUCAACCUCCAUCAUCCUGAGGUCUGACUCCAGACACACCACCUCCGUCAGCUCCUCUGGCGACUCCUCUGGGUCAGGGUCCGGAAGCUCCUCACGGGCUGAACACAUGCACGAAUACGCACACCCAUGAGCGCG